UACGUAGGGGGCGAGCGUUGUCCGGAAUUACUGGGCGUAAAGGGCGUCUAGGCGGCACGACACGUCGGGAGUGAAAAUCGCAGGCUCAACCUGCGACGCGCUUGCGAAACGGUCGAGCUAGAGGGCCGGAGAGGGAAGCGGAAUUGCCGGUGUAGCGGUGAAAUGCGUAGAUAUCGGCAGGAACACCAGUGGCGAAGGCGGCUUCCUGGACGGUACCUGACGCUGAAGCGCGAAAGCGUGGGGAGCGAACGGG
rnacentral:rRNA from 1 species